rnacentral:rRNA from 1 species
ACCAAAAACAUCGCCUCUUGCAAGAAUAAGAGGUCCCGCCUGCCCAGUGACAACAGUUCAACGGCCGCGGUAUUUUGACCGUGCGAAGGUAGCGUAAUCACUUGUCUUUUAAAUGAAGACCUGUAUGAAUGGCAUAACGAGGGCUUAACUGUCUCCUCUUUCCAGUCAAUGAAAUUGAUCUCUCCGUGCAGAAGCGGAGAUAAGUACAUAAGACGAGAAGACCCUAUGGAGCUUUAGACACUAAGACAGAUCAUGUCAAAUACCCCACAGAUAACGGCCUAAACUUAAUGAUGCCCUGUCCUAAUGUCUUCGGUUGGGGCGACCAUGGGGAAGCACAAAUCCCCCAUGUGGAAUAGGAGGACUCCCACAAGCAAGAGCUACAACUCUAGCUAACAGAACAUUUGACCUUACAUGAUCCGGCUAACGCCGAUCAACGGACCAAGUUACCCUAGGGAUAACAGCGCAAUCCCCUUUUAGAGCCCAUAUCGACAAGGGGGUUUACGACCUCGAUGUUGGAUCAGGACAUCCUAAUGGUGCAG